CUCUUUCCCUCUCCUCACUAUCUUCUCUUUUGCUAUCUUUCGUUAUUAUAGUGUUCUUCUUUGUUUCUGAGAAAACAUGUCUUAUUAGUAGUAUUUUUUGUUCCUUGAGGGAAAAAAUUAGCUAGUGCGCGUGUGUGUGUGUUGGAUUGUGAUAUCAAAAGAGUUUUCAAACUUAAAAAGUGUUGUGAUGAGAUAUUAGCAGUUCCUCUAGCCCAGAGAGAUCUGAGAG